rnacentral:rRNA from 1 species
AUUGAACGCUGGCGGCAGGCCUAAUACAUGCAAGUCGAGCGAGCGGCGGACGGGUGAGUAAUGUCUGGGAAACUGCCUGACGGAGGGGGAUAACUACUGGAAACGGUAGCUAAUACCGCAUACCAUCAGAUCUGCCCAGAUGGGAUUAGCUAGUCGGUGGGGUAAUGGCUCACCAAGGCGACGAUCCCUAGCUGGUCUGAGAGGAUGACCAGCCACACUGGAACUGAGACACGGUCCAGACUCCUACGGGAGGCAGCAGUAGGGAAUAUUGCGCAAUGGGCGCAAGCCUGAUGCAGCCAUGCCGCGUGUGUGAAGAAGGCCUUCGGGUUGUAAAGCACUUUCAGCGGGGAGGCGUUACUCGCAGAAGAAGCACCGGCUAACUCCGUGCCAGCAGCCGCGGUAAUUC